rnacentral:tRNA from 1 species
AGAUUAAAUAAGUAUGAGCUUCUAACUCAUUGUUAAUGGAUUUUCCAUUUUAAUCUU